AAGGUGGUGGUGAGCUGCCUUUUUGAACUUCUGCAGUCAAUUUGUUGUAGGUGGAUCCACAGAAUAUUAGAAGACAGAGGUAGGAUUUUGACCCAAUGAUACAGAAGAAAUUGAUAUACUUCCAAGUCUGAAGGAUGCACUUCAGCAACAUUGAAAAGUGAUACGAGUUAAACACAGGCUGACAAAUGAAAUUGAACUUUCACUGCCAAGUAAAGUGGCUUUUAGACAUCACCAAGCAACGAGAUCAAUUGUAAGCAGAUGCUGUAACGAGGGAAAUUAAUGUGACUUUUCAAAGGCUAAACUGUCAGGAUGAAACUUCGAGCUGGCUCCUGUUCUGAACAUUGGGGUGGGACUUCCAGUUCCGCAAAAGGCACAAGGACUCUCCCCAGUCUUACCGGGUUCAUAGAAGCUGAACUUUAGUGUAAUUCAGCUGAGGCUGCUGCUGAAAAUUUUGAAAGAGCUGCAAUUGUGUAAAGCACUUUACAUUCUCAAGUAUUGUAGUCACACACAAAAAAAACAAGCUGCUAUGGUAACAAGAACUAUUGUCAAUGUGCCACUUAGGAUGCAUUUUGUUCAGAAUCAAAUCUAAAAGUGUAUGCUAGUUUACAUUUAUAGACCAUAGAUUGUGAAGGUAGUUAUCUCAUCAGUGUACUGACAAUCGAUGCACGGAUAAAAUUGUUUUUGAACACCACUUAGGAACACAUCUGUGCUAUUGGAAUAAUGACUGGACAGUGAAUGAUUUUCAGGUACCAAGACACAAGUCAUGUAUUUUAUGACGAGAAAUCUCAUGCGACUGUAAUGUAACAUUUUAAAGUACAAGUAUAUUGCAAAUAAUUUCUGUCUUUGUCAUAUAACGUCAAUUUGAACAAUGCCUGAUUGUCACCAUUUUUGAAUAUAUCAUUUCAUAUCAAAUCCAAAUGUACUUCAAACUAUUUUAAAAUCUAUAGAUUUAAAUUUGUAACUUUCUUUACUCUUUUCCACUUUCUUUCCUCACUGCUUCUUCUUUUGAAGGUAUUGUGGGCAUGGGGGCAUGCUUCUCUGGAUAGUGAUAACACCUUGUCCAAAUGCCUGGUACAAUCCUGGACAUUGAGGCCUGUUUGCCACUUCAACUACUGAGAAUCACACCCUGUUUUCAGAGGCAAAUAGAUUUUUGCAUGCUCAUAACAUAGACAUUUUACUGAAUAUGAUUUUGAGUGCACUGAUUAAUACACUUGCAUAAAUGUUCUUCAUGAGUACUUUAAUUAAAUCAAUCUAUUUAAAAUCAACAACUUUGUAAACAUAGAACACAUAGGAGUGUUUAACUAUGCCCUUAAAACACCAUGUAGUAGAAUUUAAAUUCUUUAGAUUCUGGAUCUUUUUUGAAACUCUUGACUAUUUUUGUUACUUGCUAAGUGUUAUCCUAACAAGAAAUAACUUUAGAGAUAAUGGGAAUUGCAGAUGCUGGAGA